rnacentral:RNase_P_RNA from 1 species
GAGAGGUGGUGGGCGGCUAACCUCGCUACCGAGGAGGAAAGUCCCCCCACCGUUAAUGGCGGAGUCCCGAAAGGGGCUAUGCCGAGAGGCAUGGUGCGGCACAGAAAACAACCUGUCUGGAGCUAUGCGAUGACUCCGAAAGGAUGAGGUCAUCCAGACAGGAUGAAAUUGCCAGCCCCGCCAGUGCAACGCUUAGCGGCUUAGAUUAAUGCCGCCGAAAACAGAAGGGGGCUUACUGCCACCUCUC